CAGAUUUAAUAUUUAAUAUUGGCGUUGGCCGUUGUUCAAGAUGCUCGUAAGAUACUAGAGGCUGGACGCGGGCUUCCGCAAGUGUCAAUUGACUUGGUAGGAUAUGAAGUGAAAAUAUCACGGUGCUAAUCUAAGGAUUGUGAUGGAGCUCUCAAGGUAUAUCAAUUUCUCUGUGAUUCAUCUUUUGACAUACAUGAUGCAGCCACAAAGAAGGGAGAAAAUGGGAGUGGUAUAACAGAAAAAUUCCCAUCAUGGAGAGCUGAAUCGAAAACUACAAAUACUCCUCCCGUACAUGUUAACAUAGACAAAAUUGCCAUCACUGGUCAUUACCAACCUGGGAUAUAUAACUCCCUUACAAGCUAUCCUACUUACCAUUUCGGCGGCGACGACUUCAUUACAAUCCGACCCAUUCGCCCUUCUCCCUCAUCAACUUGAACCAGUCCUUCACGUAUGGAACAGCAACAUGUGGGCCAUAGGGAUCCUUGUCCCACUGAGGGAUGGGGGGAGACAGGCCAGUUUCUUCGAGGCAAGAAGCACGCAGUUCAGCUAAUGUCCCACCACGAUCAAAGAGCUCAAGCUUGUCUGACGCCCUUGCAGCUUUGAUUUCUGCCCUGAGGGCAUCCGUAGCACUCUGGUCAACGGAAUAAUCCGACGGAUUCACCACCACACCGUAAUUUUUGCGAGCCCCCUCGAGCGUGACUGAUUUUCGAUGCACUUCCAAUGCCACUUUCUCCGCCGGCCUUGUGAGCGGAUCACCUAGCCCACCACCACCCCAAGUGAUCCAUUCAAGCAAGUCCCCGGGCGCAACGCGGAUAUGAUCACAUUUGCUCUGGAGGACCUUCGUUGGCGGAUUCUGCGGAUCUUUGGAAUAAUAAUAAAUGACCUUUCUUGAUCGGCUUCCUGGUUUUCCGCCGUUUACGCCCCACGGUUUGGUAAACCAUCUAUCGUCGUGGAUGCUAAACUCUCCAGCGCUGAGGAAUCGAUACACAGUGCGCUGUGCGUUGCCGCCGCGAUAGAACCCAGCACCACCCGAGUCCGCUACAGAUUCGUUCGCUUCGAGUCGGAGCGGAUAGUUGAAUUCCAAGCUUUCCGUGGGAAUCGACUUCAUUGCCGGGAAAAGGCAGUGGC
rnacentral:sRNA from 2 species